rnacentral:lncRNA from 1 species
CCAAGUGUUGGGGUUAAAGGCCUGCACUACUACUGCCCAGAUCAUCUAUGCUUUAAAGAAAUUUGCUGUUAAAGUCCUAAAGACCUCGUGUCACUGGGAUCCUAGAAGAGCUGAUUGAUUCAGAACCUUGCCAGCAGGAAAUCUGUGAAGAAAUACAAGGUGAAGUUAGUUUUGCUAAAGUGGAAGCAGAGGCUGGGAGUGGUGUAUACAGAGUGUGCAGGCCG